AACGUUCGUUUACACGACUCUUUACAAAAUGAUUCACAUGCCAAUUCACGCUACUUUUGAAACAACCAGCUCCUUCGAGCUCCGCCGACUUCGGCUCUUGGCCCCGAUCCCAAGAAAAUUCAACUGACACUCGCUUUAACAACAACUGUACAUAUUCAUAUUUAUUUUUGAUUCGUAGCUACAGUAGCUGUUCACCAACAACAAAACGAGGUCUCUAUUGAAUUCUGAUGACAAACGGGCUCCACGGAUAUCUUCCAAUCAACUUCCGAUCUCAACUUCACACCUGCUUUACCCAAACUGAGAAAAUGAUGAAGAUGUCUCCACAUUGCACAACGGGUUUUAUAACUUUUAUCUCGUUUCAUUUAUUUGUUAAUAAUUAUUUUGAAAAGAAGAUCCCAAAAGAGGAUUCAUGUAUUUAUUUGGAACAAAAUAAUAAAUAUAUUUUGAAUUGUA
ensembl:ncRNA C30G12.11 ncRNA